AUUCCAGCUCCAAUAGCGUAUAUUAAAGUUGUUGCGGUUAAAAAGCUCGUAGUUGGAGUUCAGGGUGAGCUCAGCCGGUCGGCGUCAUGCGUCAGAACUGGUCGACUCUCCCUUGUUUGUGGAUCCCGCCCGGAGUUAACUCUUCGGGAUGUGGAGUUCACAUCGUUUACCUUGAAAAAAUUAGAGUGUUCAAAGCAGGCGUUUGCUUGAAUAUAUUAGCAUGGAAUAAUGGAAUAGGACCCUGGUUCUAUUUUGUUGGUUUUGAGAACCAGAGUAAUGAUUAAUAGGGAUAGUUGGGGGCAUUCAUAUUUCAUUGUCAGAGGUGAAAUUCUUGGAUUUAUGAAAGAUGAACUUCUGCGAAAGCAUUUGCCAAGGAUGUUUUCAUUG
rnacentral:rRNA from 1 species